UACUGCGUGUGCUUAUGAGUCAUAUUUGAUCUGAUUUCCGACUGACUGCUUUAUUGGCGUUGUGAUGAUAAACCGCGUAGGAACGGAUGUUAAUGCCUGAGAUUCAUUGGUGCGUAAUGUCGCACGUUGGUUGCAGCGAUUUAUCUUUGUUUUUAUCUUGAUGCGCGCACUACAUGGGGCUGCGGAUGUUGGCAGGGGCGUUUUAUGGUUUUGGGGCGGCCAUGUUUUUAAACAUAUUCCUGCGCUUUUUCGUUUGUAGCGCGAAAAACUGAACUCCGGUCAUGAACGUGAAAACUCGGUAGCUAUCGUUUGUCGUUUGGAAACGGACGCACCGCAGAACGACGCCAGCAAAGAUGACUUCGACCGAGCAGUCGUACGUUUCCUGCAUUCGGAGCUUUGGAAAGCCCAUUCUGCCACCGCUGAUGACGGAAGAGAAACGGCGACUAAUGAGAAAUUUCAAAGCGCUGGCCUGCGAACGCGAAGCAAGGCGUGAAAAGAGAAAAGAAACUUCUCGUGGCGAAAACGCACAGCAGGGCGGAGAGAAUAGCCCCAAAGGCUCGGUAUUUGCGUCUUCUGUGCACGAAG